GACGAACGCUGGCGGCGUGCUUAACACAUGCAAGUCGAACGAUGAAGCCGGAGCUUGCUCUGGUGAAUUAGUGGCGAACGGGUGAGUAACACGUGAGUAACCUGCCCUCGACUCUGGGAUAACUGCGGGAAACUGUAGCUAAUACCGGAUACGACCCUCGGAGGCAUCUCCUGGGGGUGGAAAGAAUUUCGGUCAAGGAUGGACUCGCGGCCUAUCAGCUAGUUGGUGAGGUAAAGGCCCACCAAGGCGACGACGGGUAGCCGGCCUGAGAGGGUGACCGGCCACGCUGGGACUGAGACACGGCCCAGACUCCUACGGGAGGCAGCAGUGGGGAAUAUUGCACAAUGGCGCAAGCCUGAUGCAGCAACGCCGCGUGAGGGAUGACGGCCUUCGGGUUGUAAACCUCUUUUAGCAGGGAAGAAGCGAAAGUGACGGUACCUGCAGAAAAAGCACCGGCUAACUACGUGCCAGCCGCCGCAGUAA
rnacentral:rRNA from 1 species